rnacentral:rRNA from 1 species
UAUUCCGCAAUGGACGAAGGUCUGACGGAGCAACGCCUCGUGAGUGAUGAAUGCUUUCGGAUCGUAAAACUCUGUUAUUAGGGAAGAACAAAUGUGUAAGUAACUGCGCACAUCUUGACGGUACCUAAUCAGAAAGCCACGGCUAACUACGUGCCAGCAGCCGCGGUAAUACGUAGGUGGCAAGCGUUAUCCGGAAUUAUUGGGCGUAAAGCGCGCGUAGGCGGUUUCUUAAGUCUGAUGUGAAAGCCCACGGCUCAACCGUGGAGGGUCAUUGGAAACUGGGAAGCUUGAGUAUAGAAGAGGAAAGUGGAAUUCCAUGUGUAGCGGUGAAAUGCGAAGAGAUAUGGAGGAACACCAGUGGCGAAGGCGACUUUCUGGUCUGUAACUGACGCUGAUGUGCGAAAGCGUGGGGAUCAAACAG